UACAGAGGGUGCAAGCGUUGUUCGGAAUUACUGGGCGUAAAGCGCGUGUAGGCUGCGGAGUAAGUCGGAUGUGAAAUCCCUUGGCUUAACCAAGGAAGUGCAUCCGAUACUGUUUCGCUUGAGUGUCGGAGGGGAUGGCGGAAUUCCCGGUGUAGAGGUGAAAUUCGUAGAUAUCGGGAGGAACACCUGUGGCGAAGGCGGCGUUCUGGACUGCAACUGACACUGAGGAACGAAAGCCAGGGAGCAAACGGG
rnacentral:rRNA from 1 species